GGCCAACAAUGUUCAAGCAGAAAGUCAUCCAGCAGAGUAAGGCACUCCUUCCUCAAGUGACCUUGAAGAACUGAUCUAUUGUGCUGAAGCAAGGGCAGAUGAAGAGGAUAUAGAUGAUGAUGCACUUUCUUCUGGAUGGGACAGUGAUCUUUCUUCGAUUAUCCUCCUCCUCCACCUGAUUCCUCCUUCAGCUCAAGGCCGGAAAAGACCAGGGAAGGUGUCUGCAUCCCAGGCUGAGAAGCAUCUUAUCGUGUUCAAGAAGAGUGGAACAAGCAUCCAGGAACACGUUGAUGCCAUCAGCAGCACCGCUCAACCCUAUCUACUUGCCGUUGGGAUGAAGAGGAGCACCAUUCAUUCGUUCUUCAUCAUUCUGGACAAGCAGGUUAUACCAUGCCAGUCAACCAGUUCUCUUGGAGCGUUCGAUGAACUCUUCAAGGCACACUAUGUAUUUGGUACCAUGUACAGUCAGGCACUCUACAACAUGUACACCUUUGUACAGACAACUGUGUACAACAUAGAUAUUGGCAAAGUCCAGGAGAGCCCACAUGUUGCAGAGCUUAGGGCUAGGCUGCUUCACUAAUGCAUACAUUGACAUACACGGUGGGCAACAUGCUUGCCCCUUAUCUAUCAAUGCGAUGGUAUUGUUCUGUUUCUGUUUGUUUUUAGGCUGCUGUGACUGACCUUACUCAAUUAAUCCAGUGUAUUUUGAAAACAUGGGGGUGACUUGUUUUGUUUGCCAGACUCAUUUUGUGACUACUAACAUGCUUGUAAGGCACAUACGAUUGAUUCAUGGUUUCUGUGCUGGUAAAUCACUUCGCUUGAAAUGUGCUCAGGCAGGAUGCUGUCAGGUUUUUGGUACCUUUUCAGGCUUCAGGAAACAUUUCAACACCAAACAUGCUGAGCAAAUUGAGCAUGAAGACAAAACUGAUAAUAAUGUAGACAGAGAAGAUUUUGUUGAUAAUUCUCAAUCACAAGAUUUUGAGGAACCAACCUGUAGCUCUCAAGUCCAGCCACUAGUCAACACAAGCACUGUAAUAUGUGUGCCUCUGCUAUUGCACAGCUUCAAGUUGCUGGUGUUGCCCAGGCUACUUUAAAUAAUUUUAUAUCAUCCAUGGAAGAAGUAGUACUGGAUUUACAGAGUCAAGCAAAAGAUGCUGCGUUGAAAUGUUUAUCUUCUCAGGAUACUAGUAUUAAAGAUAAAAUUGAACAAAGUUUUGAAAAACUUGAAAAUCCUUUUACUUGCUUGAAUUCAGAAUCAAAACGAACAGCAUAUUUUGAACAGAAAUGGAGAACUGUUGAACCUGUAGAAAAAGUCCUUGGUGUCAGAUUUGAAAGUAGAAGAAACAGAACUACUGGAACUUAUGAUCAGGUGGUUGUAACAGACAAAUUUUUCUAUGUUCCAAUUCUAGAAACAUUGCAGUCUAUUCUCACAAAUCCAAACCUCCAAGAUAUGUUUACAUCUAGCCAUACCCCCAGGGAUAGUGUAUAUUUUGAUAUUAAAGACGGGUCUUACAUGAAGAGACAUCCUCUAUUUGCUAAA